rnacentral:lncRNA from 1 species
ACAUGACUCUUACGAGAAUCGUUCUGUCUACACUAACGGAAGGCCAGUGUUGGUGAUGAAACCUCUCUAAGUUGAAGCUGCGCUCCUUCCACGGUCGACUCUCGAGCAAUGCGGUUGGCUAACUUACCGACUUAGCUUCGAUUAAGAAAGGCAAAAUGCCAAAGCGAUCGCAGUCGUACUUGCGACAUACCGACUUGAUCACGACCGAUCGAAGGAUAUUCGGCUUGCCACCGUUUAUCAUACACCACGAUGUACCUGCCCGACCAAGGUCUGGGCAACGGAUAUUCAACUUGCGACAUACCGACUUGGUC